UGCCCUUGAUAUAAAGAGAGACGUCACUAAUGCGAUGGUGGUAUUUGAAAAAUAAUAGAGGUAAAGAAGAAAGACCUUGUAAUAUGAUUAAUUAGUGGCAUUGGAUGAGAAACACACUCAUUAGACCAACACUCCCUAACUCUGCAAGAACCAACAGACUUCACCUUGAACAUUUCUUUCCUUGAAAGCAUCUCGAUCCCUCCCAAACUUAAUGAACUCAAAAGCGAGGAUGCUCGGUACUUUUGAGCUUAAAUCAU
rnacentral:lncRNA from 1 species